ACGGGGGGUGCGAGCGUUGUUCGGAAUUAUUGGGCGUAAAGAGCGCGUAGGCGGCUGCGUAAGUCAGAUGUGAAAGCCCUGGGCUCAACCCGGGAAGUGCAUUCGAUACUGCGCGGCUUGAGUGCCGGAGAGGAAGGUGGAAUUCCAGGUGUAGGGGUGAAAUCCGUAGAUAUCAGGAGGAACACCGGUGGCGAAGGCGGCUUUCUGGCCGUAUACUGACGCUGAGGUGCGAGAGCGUGGGUAGCAAACAG
rnacentral:rRNA from 1 species